rnacentral:rRNA from 1 species
UACGGGGGGGGCAAGCGUUGCUCGGAAUUACUGGGCGUAAAGGGCUCGUAGGCGGCCAACUAAGUCGGACGUGAAAUCCCUCGGCUUAACCGGGGAACUGCGUCCGAUACUGGAUGGCUUGAGUUCGGGAGAGGGAUGCGGAAUUCCAGGUGUAGCGGUGAAAUGCGUAGAUAUCUGGAGGAACACCGGUGGCGAAGGCGGCAUCCUGGACCGACACUGACGCUGAGGAGCGAAAGCCAGGGGAGCAAACGGG